rnacentral:rRNA from 1 species
AGUGAACGCUGGCGGCAGGCCUAACACAUGCAAGUCGAACGGCAGCACAGCAGUAGCAAUACUGUGGGUGGCGAGUGGCGGACGGUGAGGAAUGCAUCGGAAUCUGCCUAUUUGUGGGGGAUAACGUAGGGAAACUUACGCUAAUACCGGCAUACGACCUACGGGUGAAAGUGGGGGACCGCAAGGCCUCACGCAGAUAGAUGAGCCGAUGCCGGAUUAGCUAGUUGGCGGGUAAAGGCCCACCAAGGCGACGAUCCGUAGCUGGUCUGAGAGGAUGAUCAGCCACACUGGAACUGAGACACGGUCCAGACUCCUACGGGUGGCUG